GUGCUCGCUUCGGCAGCACAUAUACUAAAAUUGGAACGAUACGGAGAAGAUUAGCAUGGCCCCUGCGCAAGGAUGAAAGAAAUCCACAGUGCAGCCUUCUGUUUCA
rnacentral:snRNA from 1 species